rnacentral:rRNA from 1 species
UGGGGAAUUUUGGACAAUGGGCGCAAGCCUGAUCCAGCCAUGCCGCGUGCGGGAAGAAGGCCUUCGGGUUGUAAACCGCUUUUGUCAGGGAAGAAACGGUCUGUCUUAAUACUGCGGACUAAUGACGGUACCUGAAGAAUAAGCACCGGCUAACUACGUGCCAGCAGCCGCGGUAAUACGUAGGGUGCAAGCGUUAAUCGGAAUUACUGGGCGUAAAGCGUGCGCAGGCGGCUUUGCAAGACAGAUGUGAAAUCCCCGGGCUCAACCUGGGAACUGCAUUUGUGACUGCAAGGCUGGAGUGCGGCAGAGGGGGAUGGAAUUCCGCGUGUAGCAGUGAAAUGCGUAGAUAUGCGGAGGAACACCGAUGGCGAAGGCAAUCCCCUGGGCCUGCACUGACGCUCAUGCACGAAAGCGUGGGGAGCAAACAGGAUUAGAUACCCUCGUAGUCCCUGAGCGGGCUGGCAAGGCGCAU